GGGUUUAGAAUUUCUUAUGGUUUCUUCGUUUAGGUUUUAGGUAUUCAGAUUUUAGGUUAAGUGUUUUUUAGAGUUUAUGGUUUUUUUUAGGUUUAUGAUUCUUAUGAUUAAGGUUUUUAAAUGUUUUAGGGUUUCUUAGGUUUUUUUAAGAAUUUGGAUUUCUUAAGAUUUAGGAUGUAGGCCUAAUAUAUGGCAUAGGAUUUUAAGUUUAGGGUUUUUUCUAGGGCUUAUGGUUUUAAAGGGAUUUUUUUUCCUCGGGUAUUGAAACGACCCCAAAAAUGUCCGAAAAUGUG
rnacentral:lncRNA from 1 species